AUUGAACGCUAGCGGGAUGCUUUACACAUGCAAGUCGAACGGCAGCGCGGACUUCGGUCUGGCGGCGAGUGGCGAACGGGUGAGUAAUGUAUCGGCACGUGCCCAGUAGCGGGGGAUAACUACGCGAAAGCGUAGCUAAUACCGCAUACGCCCUACGGGGGAAAGCAGGGGAUCGUAAGACCUUGCACUAUUGGAGCGGCCGAUAUCGGAUUAUCUAGUUGGUGAGGUAACGGCUCACCAAGGCGACGAUCCGUAGCUGGUUUGAGAGGACGACCAGCCACACUGGGACUGAGACACGGCCCAGACUCCUACGGGAGGCAGCAGUGGGGAAUUUUGGACAAUGGGGGCAACCCUGAUCCAGCCAUCCCGCGUGUGCGAUGAAGGCCUUCGGGUUGUAAAGCACUUUUGGCAGGAAAGAAACGUCGCGUGCUAAUACCCCGUGGAACUGACGGUACCUGCAGAAUAAGCACCGGCUAACUACGUG
rnacentral:rRNA from 1 species